rnacentral:lncRNA from 1 species
CCAACUCUGAGGGGUGCUGGACCUAGUUCCUAGGGACUUUUGCAAAAGUAGAAAAUGAGUCUCUCUCUCUCUCUCUCUUUCUCUCUCUCCUGGGUUUUCCUACGUAGGACAGCCUGGCUUCAAACCUCACAGAGAUCUGCUUGUUUCUGCCUCCUGGGGGCUAGGAUUUAAGGCUUGUGUGCCACCACUCCCGGCUGAGCCACCACUUUCUUGGCAAAAGUAGAGGAAGGGCUACUUUGUGCAGAGGGGGACAAAGACUCAUUCCUGGUCCUCCUGCCUCAGCCAACUAAGUGCUAGUGCAACAAGAACACACUACCACAUCUGGCUGGAAGAUUACAACUUAAUGAUCAAGAUUGGAAGGGGUCCCCAGGAAAAGACAUAUUACCUGCAUGCCUCAUUACGGACCUACCAACACCUGCUACCUUUGCUCCGAAACCAGGAGGAAGGUGGUCCAGGUCAUCUCUGAUGCACCGGACACUGGGACAUCAGAUCAGCCUCACUCCCAGCACUGCAUCGGACCUUUGAGUGGCAUCUGAUGAAGCCUGCUCAGAGACGCCUAUGAGCCAUAGUUCAUCAGACAGCGGGGUGGGAUGAGGGCUGGAGAGGAAGGAGAGGUAGUGCUGUUUCUGAGAUCCGAGUCUCGAGUCAGGCCACCACUGAGGUAGAUCCUGUCACCAUAAGGACACACAAAAGCUUUGGAUUUGAGCAGAUAGUUCUGCCUGCUGGUCUCUCAGCUGGGAUGAAGGUCAAAACACUAGAUGGAAUCUUCAGUUGUGCUGUAAUAUUUUCAGUAAACUUGGAAUACGACAACGAAAAUAUCGUGUGUGUUCCCUAACCCCACCACACAUAAGCGCACAUGCUCCUAUAGACUCAGCAGUCAGCACCAUAGCAUCCAGUUCAAGAUUUGAGAAAGAGGUGGGCAGGGCUGCCACUGUUCUCUGCCACCUACUGGCUGAUUAGCACCUUGAGCAACGGUUACCCAUUCUGAACCUUGGUUUCCCUCUGUGUAAAAUACUAGUAAUGUCACCUACCUUCUAGAAUUGUGACCAAAGGCUGCAUGCAUAAAGAUCUCACCUUAGCCAAUAAAAACAAAGGAACCACUUUCCUUUCUCAUACGUAGCCAGCCUUCUGUUGCGGUUUAGAUGCUAGGGAUGAGACUAAAUUCUAGGAAUAUUAAAAAUUCAUCAUAAUAAAGCAAUAUAAGAUCCAGGACAAAGUCUAGUAAAAUAUCAACCCAGCUACAGCCUAAGAUAGAUCCUGCUUUAGGUAUCUCUUGGCAAGACAGGGUUCUUCUUUUUCAGAAAAGUCUCC